rnacentral:lncRNA from 1 species
AGGUAACAUUGUGUAUGCUCUGAAGACUGUUACCUGUCCAAAGUACAAAGGGAAACUAUUACUAUUCCAAAUGGAAUCCAUUAUAUUGCCUGGCCAGCUCACUUCAGCUCAAAUCCUUGCUGCUGUUGUUGUAUAUCUUUGGAGCACUAUCAGUGCAUGUCCUCCUGAGCCACUCCUGUUUCGUGUAGACAGCUUACAACUAGAUUGGCUAGGGCUGUGUUAUGAAUGCAUAGAAGACUGUGAGAGCAUCACCAGAUGGCUUGAGUCUGAUGGAAAAGGAACAGUGGAAUUUCUUCUCAUAAGUAAUUUCCACGGAAAUAAAUGGGAAGCACUUCUUUUGGAGCAACCUGCACAUCUACCUCUUUCCUGCCUCUCAGGGCAUGACUCACUUCUCUGAUUUUAAGGGAGCUAACUUAUGAUGAGGAGAGAGGUAUCCUUGGCUAAGAAGCACAAUCCAUUAUGAGACACAGAGGAUCUCAAUAUUACUUCUGAGUCACCGUCCUAUCUGUGCUAGUGCAUUAGUACAUGACUGAACAAAAUAAUUUCAACUGAGUUAAGCAAAACCACAUUACUUUACAUGACCUGGGAGACAAAUACAUGAACAAGUAGUAAAUCAGAAUUCAACUAAUAAGUGAUUUAACAAGCUGAUUCGAAAAGCAAGCAGCAUGCUUUUUAUUUUAGAGUAAAAAUGCUGGUAUCUGAGAGGAAAUGGAACAGAUUUUUCCCAUCACUGCAUGACAACACAUCUCUAGGAGCUGGAGGAGGGAGAAUUUUUAGGCUAUAAUAUUGAACAGUGACUCUGCUCUUUACCUUUUACACCAUAAAGGCUCCAUGUAGUGCAAAGCUGAGAAAGUUGAGCUCAUUGGUUGGGGACAAAAGACAUUCCCCAUUCUUCCUUAUCUAAAAAUUAAAAUUUCCUGCUGUUCUUUCUUACUCUCUAUUUUUUUUUUUUUUCCCCCAUUUUCUAAAAUUCCUAGAGCUUUUGGGAUUUUAACUCACUUUGUCAGGCAUCGCUCAUAAAAGCUUUUCCCCAGUUGUACUAACACAAUUAUCUCCCUUAAUUUUUACAUUACUUACGGAAGUCUAAUUAGGAAAAGUCUUCCAGGGUCAGUCUUUUGUUGCAUGCAAGUCAACAGUCUGGGAUAGAGGGGACAGGAGGUAGGAGCUUGCACACAGACUGUAACUAAAGCAUGUGUGUAUAAGUGGUCUCAUUACAGGCGCAUUAUUUGUAUUACCCUUGGUGAGUAGCAGAGAAAUUGGCAACCUGUAACCAAAAUAAAUGUUUCUCAUAAGUUGCUAAUUUGUUUGGU